CCUACGUGAGGCAGCAGUGAGGAAUAUUGGUCAAUGGGCGCUAGCCUGAACCAGCCAAGUAGCGUGAAGGAUGACUGCCCUAUGGGUUGUAAACUUCUUUUAUAUGGGAAUAAAGUGCAGUAUGUAUACUGCUUUGCAUGUACCUUAUGAAUAAGGAUCGGCUAACUCCGUGCCAGCAGCCGCGGUAAUACGGAGGAUCCGAGCGUUAUCCGGAUUUAUUGGGUUUAAAGGGAGCGUAGGCGGGUUGUUAAGUCAGUUGUGAAAGUUUGCGGCUCAACCGUAAAAUUGCAGUUGAUACUGGCGUCCUUGAGUACAGGAGAGGUAGGCGGAAUUCGUGGUGUAGCGGUGAAAUGCUUAGAUAUGACGAAGAACUCCGAUUGCGAAGGCAGCCUGCUGGACUGUAACUGACGCUGAUGCUCGAAAGUGUGGGUAUCGAACAGGAUUAGAUACCCGGGUAGUC
rnacentral:rRNA from 1 species